CCCGGCGGCUUCGGGAGCUCGGCCAGCGCGCCGCCCGGGCUCGGGAAGGGCGGGAAGGGCCGCGGAGCGGGCGGGGCCGUCGCCGCCGUCGUCCGGGGCCGGGGCGGAAGGGCGCGCCGAGGGGAGAGCGCGGAGCCCAGGCAGCGGGGUCGUCGAGGCGGCGGAGGGCGGCCUCCUGCCCGCGGCAAGGGAGCGCUUCCCUGAGGAGAAGGCGACUGGCGAUGCAGAUUUUACCUACCUCCUGAGACUUUACGGAAGGUUACGCAGACACACAUUAAAAACGAAGCCAGCCCAAUAAGACAAGACUGCAAUUCUGUGAGCCAAGAAACAAAAGGAGAGAAAAGAUCACAGAAAAGAGAAAUGUUCAAGCCUGGGUGGAGGGAUGCUCCUUCCUGAUGGGGAAACAGGUUGGUUCCCGAUGGGCAGCAGCCCUGGCACCUCUGUGGUCAGGGAUCCUUUGAGAAAUUUUGUGUAACUGAACACAUGUCACAUGGCUGGUCAAGGAAAGCAGCCUGAUGAUUCUCGUUACUUUAUAAAAGAUGCAGGAGGUCUACUUGUGAAUCUAAGUUUCUAUGAACCCUUGAGGGCAGGGCGAACCAGUUCUGUAAGGUGUUCAGUGACUGGCCAGAUUUGAAUGUAGGGGGGCUUACACCUGGGGACUCUUCAGGGAGGACUGUGGCCCUUGAGUGAGUACUUUGUGUGAUAUCAGAGACAUCUUGAAUCUGGUUUAUAGGGCCAUGCAAGUUUUAGGGUACACCCAUAUGGGGUCUGGUUAUACUGUUCUGGGAUCGGGACCUACACAGUUUUGUCCCAAAGUUUCCCCAGGUGACUGAUGUGCAGCCACUCCUCUGUGGGCUUGCUUCUAAAAGGCUUUCCUACACAACACGGGUGUGAGGACCCCUGGCGUGGGUGUAGGAGUGUCCUGUAACAAGUACAACAACUGGGGGUUGGUCUUAGCCUCCUUGGGCGGCUGUAAGAAGACACCAGGGACCCGGCAGCCUAGACACAACACGCACUUCCGGUCUGGGAUGCUGGGAAGUCUAAGGUCGGGGUGCCUGCAGAUUCAGGGCCCAGUGAGAGCCCGCGUUCCGCUUCAAGACACUGCCUUCCCAGG
rnacentral:lncRNA from 1 species